GAUGAACGCUGGCGGCGUGCCUAAUACAUGCAAGUCGAGCGAACUUUUGUGAGCUUGCUCCCAAAAGUUAGCGGCGGACGGGUGAGUAACACGUGGUUAACCUGCCUUUAAUAUUGGGAUAACUUCGGGAAACCGGACCUACUCCCGGAUAACAUUGAAGCCCACAUGGCCUUCAAUUAAAAUUUGGCUUUUAGCUACCACUUACAGAUGGUCCCGCGGCGCCUUAGCUAGUUGGUGAGGUCACGGCUCACCAAGGCGCCGAUGCGGAUCCGACCUGAGAGGGUGGGCGGCAACACUGGGACUGAGACAAGGCCCAGACGCACACGGGAAGGAGCAGUAGGGAAACGUGCGCAAUGGGCGAAAGGCUGAAGGAGCAACGCCGCGGGAGGGAAGAAGGCCGUCGGGUCGGAAAGGUCUGUUGUUAGGGAAGAACAAGCAUCGGGCGAAUAGGGCGGUAGCUUGACGGUACCUAACCAGAAAGCAACGGCUAACUACGUG
rnacentral:rRNA from 1 species